AAGAAGAAGAAGAAAGGAAACUAAAUAGUAUAAAACCCAAUAAAGGAAGGAAGAAGAAGAAGAAGAAAGGAAACUGAAUUGUAUAAAACCCAAUAAAGGAAGGAAGAAGAAGAAGAAGAAGAAGAAAGGAAAGUGAAUAGUAUAAAACCCAAUAAAGGAAGAAAGAAGAAGAAGAAAGGAAACUGAAUUGUAUAAAACCCAAUAAAGGAAGAAAGAAGAAGAAGAAAGGAAACUGAAUUGUAUAAAACCCAAUAAAGGAAGGAAGAAGAAGAAGAAAAAGAAAGGAAACUGAAUAGUAUAAAACCCAAUAAAGGAAAGAAGAAGAAGAAGAAGUAGAAGAAAGGAAACUGAAUAGUAUAAAACCCAAUAAAAGAAGGAAGAAGAAGAAGAAAGGAAACUAAAUAGUCAAAAACCCAAUAAAGGAAGAAAGAAGAAGAAGAAAGGAAGCCUCAUAGUAUAAAACCCAAUAAAAGAAGAAAGAAGAAGAAAGAAAGAAGAAAAAAUAGAUCCAGGGGAUAUAGACUAGACAAUAGUCUAAAACCCUAUAAAAGAAGAAAGGAACCUGAAUAGUAUAAAUCCCAAUAAAGGAAGAAAGAAGAAGAAGAAGAAAGGAAACUGAAUAGUAUAAAACCCAAUAAAGGAAGAAAGAAGAAGAAGAAGAAAGGAAACUAAAUAGUAUAAAACCCAAUAAAGGAAGGAAGAAGAAGAAGAAGAAGAAAGGAAACUGAAUAGUAUAAAACCCAAUAAAGGAAGAAAGAAGAAGAAAGGAACCUGAAUAAUAUAAAUCCCAAUAAAGGAAGAAAGAAGUAGAAGAAGAAAGGAAACUAAAUAGUCUAAAACCCUAGAAAUGAAGAAAGAAGAAGAAGAAGAAAGGAAACUCGCAAAUGAAACGCCCAUUUAGUACGCUUAAAAUGGCAGCUCAGCGUUCUCCUAUGUGGCGCUGCGAGAGCCUGGACGCGGGGAUUGCCAGGAAGCUGUUAGGAUUCUGUCAGACCAGCACAGUGCAAAGAGGAGAUGCAGACCAGCAGACACUGUGGUAGUUAAACCAUCCUUGUUGUUCAUCCCGAAUAGGAUACACCUUUGUGAUGUGAAACCCCCUGGAACCAGCCACCUGGGGCCCAGAGCUGCUUGCUGGGCUUCCACAAGAGGAUUCAGAACAAGGCCUUCAUGCCACAGAUCUUGCCAAGGUUGCAGGUUAGGACGCGGCACAUAAUGAGAGAAAUUCCCGGAAGGAGGUACAGCAGAUGAGUCUUGUACUACAGUGCAGGGAGCAGAAAGAUGACCAGGACCAUCUGUGAAGAAUGCCAAGUGUUGCUGUGUACCUACAACUGCUUUGAGUGAUAACUUUCUCAAAGAGACUUGUAACAUGUAUAUCGCUAUAUACAUAGUAAGAAAUUUAGAUCUCAUAUAAAAAAUAAAGCUACCUUUGAGCACCAUAAAGGUGUUA